UGGCGAUGAUGAGACAUUGUCUGGGUUGAACUUCCAUGAAAUAAAAGUCGGUUUUCUGAGCCACUA
rfam:Penicillium nalgiovense strain IBT 13039 PENNAL_contig0002, whole genome shotgun sequence.